CCCUUAGAUGCUCUGGGCCGCACGCGCGCUACACUGAUGCAUUCAACGAGUCUAAAACCUGCUCUGAUAGGGGUGGGUAAUCUUUUGAAUGUGCAUCGUGAUUGGGAUAGAUGAUUGCAAUUUUUCAUCUUCAACGAGGAAUGCCUAGUAAACGCAAGUCAUCAGCUUGCAUUGAUUACGUCCCUGCCCUUUGUACACACCGCCCGUCGCUCCUACCGAUUGAAUGAUCCGAUGAAUAUCAUGGAUUGAGGAUGCAAGUAGGUUCGCCUAUCUUCAUCUUCGAGAAGUGAAGUAAAUCUUAUCAUUUAGAGGAAGGAGAAGUCGUAACA
rnacentral:rRNA from 1 species